AGGACGAACGCUGGCGGCGUGCUUAACACAUGCAAGUCGAACGAGGUCCAUCCUUCGGGAGAAGACCUAGUGGCGAACGGGUGAGUAACACGUGAGCAACCUGCCCCGAAGACCGGGAUAACAGCGGGAAACCGCUGCUAAUACCGGAUACCCCCAUCCGGCCCCAUGGCCAGAUGAGGAAAUGGAUUCCGCUUCGGGAGGGGCUCGCGGCCUAUCAGCUUGUUGGUGGGGUAAUGGCCCACCAAGGCGACGACGGGUAGCUGGUCUGAGAGGACGAUCAGCCACACUGGGACUGAGACACGGCCCAGACUCCUACGGGAGGCAGCAGUGGGGAAUAUUGCGCAAUGGGCGAAAGCCUGACGCAGCAACGCCGCGUGAGGGAUGAAGGCCUUCGGGUUGUAAACCUCUUUCGAGCAGGGACGAUGAUGACGGUACCUGCAGAAGAAGCUCCGGCCAACUACGCGCCAGCAGCCGC
rnacentral:rRNA from 1 species